GAGUUUGAUCCUGGCUCUAGAUUGAACGCUGGCGGCAUGCCUUACACAUGCAAGUCGAACGGCAGCACGGGAGCAAUCCUGGUGGCGAGUGGCGAACGGGUGAGUAAUACAUCGGAACGUGUCCUGUAGUGGGGGAUAGCCCGGCGAAAGCCGGAUUAAUACCGCAUACGCUCUACGGAGGAAAGGGGGGGAUCUUCGGACCUCUCGCUACAGGGGCGGCCGAUGGCAGAUUAGCUAGUUGGUGGGGUAAAGGCCUACCAAGGCGACGAUCUGUAGCUGGUCUGAGAGGACGACCAGCCACACUGGGACUGAGACACGGCCCAGACUCCUACGGGAGGCAGCAGUGGGGAAUUUUGGACAAUGGGGGCAACCCUGAUCCAGCAAUGCCGCGUGUGUGAAGAAGGCCUUCGGGUUGUAAAGCACUUUUGUCCGGAAAGAAAACUUCGGCCCUAAUACGGCGAGGAGGAUGACGGUACCGGAAGAAUAGCACCGGAAUACUGC
rnacentral:rRNA from 2 species